AUGAACGCUAGCGGCAGGCUUAAUACAUGCAAGUCGUGGGGCAGCAUGAGUAGCAAUACUUGAUGGCGACCGGCAAACGGGUGAGGAACACGUACACAACCUUCCUUCAAGCGGGGAAUAGCCCAGAGAAAUUUGGAUUAAUACCCCAUAAUAUAUUUGAUAAGGCAUCUUAUUAAUAUUAAAGCUUCGGCACUUGAUGAUGGGUGUGCGGCUGAUUAGAUAGUUGGCGGGGUAACGGCCCACCAAGUCUACGAUCAGUAGCUGAUGUGAGAGCAUGAUCAGCCGCACGGGCACUGAGACACGGGCCCGACUCCUACGGGAGGCAGCAGUAAGGAAUAUUGGACAAUGGACGAAAGUCUGAUCCAGCCAUGCCGCGUGAAGGAUUAAGGUCCUCUGGAUUGUAAACUUCUUUUAUAUGGGACGAAAAAAGGGCAUUCUUGUUCACUUGACGGUACCAUAUGAAUAAGCACCGGCUAACUCCGUG
rnacentral:rRNA from 1 species